GACGAACGCUGGCGGCGUGCUUAACACAUGCCAGUCGAACGGAAAGGCCCUGCUUUUGUUCGGUGCUCGAGUUGCGAACGGGUGAGUAACACGUGAGUAACCUGCCCUUGACUUUGGGAUAACUUCUGGAAACUGUGGCUAAUACCGCAUAGGAGCUCCUGCUGCAUGGUGUUGGUUGGAAAGUUUCGGCGGUUGGGGAUCGACUCGCGGCUUAUCAGCUUGUUGGUGGUGUAGGGGCUUACCAAGGCUUUGACGGGUAGCCGACCUGAGAGGGUGACCGGCGACAAUGGGACUGAGAGAGGGAGCAGAAGGGAACGGGAGGCAGCAGUGGGGAAUAUGGCAGAACGAGCGGAAGCGAGAGGCAACAACGUCGGGAGCGGGAAGACGGGUUUCGGGUGGAAAACCGCUGUGGCCGGGGAAGAAGCGUGAGUGACGGUAAUGGGUAAAGAAGCACCGGCUAACUACGUG
rnacentral:rRNA from 1 species